GACGAACGCUGGCGGCGUGCCUAAUACAUGCAAGUGGGACGCAAGGGAACACACUGUGCUUGCACACCGUGUUUUCUUGAGUCGCGAACGGGUGAGUAACGCGUAGGUAACCUGCCUAUUAGCGGGGGAUAACUAUUGGAAACGAUAGCUAAUGCCGCAUAAUAUUAAUUAUUGCAUGAUAAUUGAUUGAAAGAUGCAAGCGCAUCACUAGUAGAUGGACCUGCGUUGUAUUAGCUAGUUGGUAAGGUAAGAGCUUACCAAGGCGACGAUACAUAGCCGACCUGAGAGGGUGAUCGGCCACACUGGGACUGAGACACGGCCCAGACUCCUACGGGGGGCAGCAGUAGGGAAUCUUCGGCAAUGGACGAAAGUCUGACCGAGCAACGCCGCGUGAGUGAAGAAGGUUUUCGGAUCGUAAAGCUCUGUUGUAAGUCAAGAACGUGUGUGAGAGUGGAAA
rnacentral:rRNA from 1 species